AGUUCACAGCCUUGAAAACCGUGUCAAGCAGUUCUACUCUGCACACAGAGGGUCACCAUGAGUCGGAAUCAACUCAAUGGCAACGAACAACAGCAAGAACUAUUAAUAGUCAUGAUAAAUGUGAAGUGUUUUAACUACCCCGAAGUGUUCUUAUGAUAAGAACUCAAGAAGGUCUGGGCCUGGUGUUUUCCUCCCGUUUCCUGCUCUCUGCUGAAGCAGACGCUUGGACUUCUGCAGAGGAUACAGGAUAGGAAUUUCCCUGGUUAUCUUGCUUGCUGCCCAGAGAGGCAACUGUCAGGAAAUGGAGGCUGAGGAGAAUACAGACCUCCUGGUAGGGCCAGGGGCCCUGGGUAUUGGGAGGCCUGAACCAAGGGAGACUUCCUACUUGAAGCCUUGACAUUAAGCAUUUUGGGGUAGGAGAAAAGCCACGUUGAUUUUUUUCCUUAUUAUCAGUUCCAGAAAGAAAAAACAACCCUUUCAGAAGAGGGAAAAAGAGAGGAAACUUGGAGAAAACCAAAAGAGCCAAUUUCCCCCUUUUGCAAAUUCUUUACCCCACUUCUCAGGAAAAAACACAUUUCUGUAAAUGCUCUAUUUUGUGUGGUACUGAACAAAGUAGUCUCAAUUCCUGCCCUGUGAAGUCUUUUUAAAGAGAAACAGUUACAGCAAACAACUGGGAGGCCCUCUUCGGGCAGUGAAAGGCUGGUCCUGGAAGAUAAGGGUUCAGGAGCUGCGCUAGGUAGGGAAAGGCGUGUGAUCACGUGUCAACACAAGUGCCUGACCACAGAUGCUAGUUGAGUUGAGAUAAUGUGAAGUCUAAGAGGUUUAAAGGAUACACAGAGGGGGAAAAAUUAAUCUGAAACAUUUAGUAUAAAAAAAUUACAACAGAGGACAAAAGACAACCUGCUUAAAGAUGAGAGCAUCUUAAGCAGCUGAACUAAGCCUGGUUAUGUAAAAUACAUUUCACUUGGGUGAUAGGCAUUUGGAGGCUUCUACUAUCCCAGCUGGCACCCUUGUUAACAGAAUGCUUUCUAGUGGCUUGGGAACUAUGGUUUCUAGAGCUACUUCUUAGGUGCUAUUUUAUGCCCUACUUAUGUAUAUGAGAUCUAUACUUUAUGGAGAUCUGUAACUCCAACAGGAGUGAGUCAAAGUUCUUGAUAUUCCCCACUGGAAUCCUUACAGAAUCCUUAUGAAAUAAAUUUUGCCAAUAGCCUGGCUGGCUUCAUUUAUGGGUAGGUUUCCAAGUGAGGAAUAACGAGAAUAAGGACUUUGUGACCAGUCAUCAUCAGCCGUGCCAACAACUUGGUGUCGGUUUCUUCAUGCCAGGUGAGUGUCCUAACUAGUCUGUGACAUCAUCUCUCUGUAGGCAUCAGAUAAAGGUAAUAGAUAAGUCACCUGUUGGCAACCACAGAAUGUGAACAUUAGCAAGAGAAGAACAGUUACUCUCAUGCUUGGCGCUAGUUAUGAUUUGUCAGGUAUGUACUGGCAAAGGCUCCAGUGCUCGAUGAUUCUGGGUGAGAUGAGGAGCUGAAAGGCAGGUGGUUGUGGCCCAUGAUCACUCUGACAGCUGAGGCAGAGAGCUGCAGCUUCAAGUGGCCUGUGUCUCUUCACUAUCAGAAACUUAAGCAAUUAUUUAAAGGCCAGGCAUCUAUCUUGGUAGAGCUUCUCUGCUGUAAAGAAUUGUUUUUCUUUUUUAGGACCAAUAGGAAAGGAUCUCCAAACCCCACAACAUUAGGCAAAAUAUUAAUGAGAGACCAACUUUUAACAAAAUAUUUGCAUCUCUACCUUCUUUAGAAAAUGGAAGAGGAAGAAGAGUGCAAAAGGAAAAGAAGAAUGCAAAACUGAGUAAAACAUUCAGAAAUAUAUAGGAUCUGGUCUCAACCAAACCAGUAAGUAAAUAACCAAUUAGUCACUGAAUGUCUCCUAAUGUUUAAGACCUUGUAUUAGGAAUUUUGAAGGUAGUGAAUUAACAAUGUCUUUAGUGCUGACCAUCAACAAGUUACUGUGCCAGGUGCAAGAGAUAAAAAGAUAAAUGACGUCUCAUCCCUGUUCUCAAGGAGAGAUCAACUCAUGAACUGUUGAUAACAGUAGAACAAAUAUAAGCACAAGUGCAGUUAUUAGGGGCUCACGGUAUUUUGGCGGAAGGGUGUUACUUAAGUGUGUGUGGGUAGGGCAAGAAGAAGCUGACAGGAAUAUGAGAAAUUUAGAUACUUAAUGGAAAAGACUGAGGCCAGAACAAUGUUAAAAUUGAGCAGCAUUCCAGUCUGAUUUGCACAAUCGUUUUCCCUUCUAAACACCCAAUAGUGCUAAAUUGCAUAAAAAGAGUACAUCUAAAAUAUAUUGUUGGGUUCAAAAACAAGAUAAACAUCUCUGCAGACCAAAACCAACAGAAACACAGAGGCAAAGGGACGAGAGGCAGCAGUGGAGUCUGGAAUCCCUGCCCCCACCAGGUAGCAGGCAGGCUCUGGAGAGCACUGCUCUAGAAGACGGGCCAGAGCUGUGCUCAUUGCUGAGGGGUGAGCUCCCUCUCUUGAGAGAAACUAGGGGUCUGGAACUGCUGCUACUUGCUGCUUGGGACCAUGGCUCACCUCAAGCUGAAGCAAAAUGGAGGGCUCAAGGACACAGACACAGCCUUCCCACCAGCAGCUGGACCAAGCCACCUCCUGGCUCAGAUGCUGGUCUGGGAUAAAGAGUAAGUGGAGACUUAGACACUGGAAAGCAGGUGCUGGUAACCUGGCAGGGGCAAAGGAGACAGGAGAGCGCUCCCUUUGAGCUCCUUCAAAAGUAUCCUUUUUUGGCCAGUAUUCUUAAGGAAAGAUGUUGACAUAGUCAUGAAGACUGAGAGGCUAGGGGGAGCAGUAUGAAAGCAAGGCUGGGUGACUGUGGAGAAGUCAGUCCAAGGGAAGCUUCCACAAACAAUCAGCCCUGUCACCUCCACCCCUUGCCUGACCACACCCACAGACUAACUCCUCCUCUGGAAGAACCUCAAUAUGCCUCUUACAGGAAGACAUGGGAUUUGGGCCAGUAACUGUGCUUUACUGGCUUCCCAGGACACUGGCUAAUUAGAAACGUUCUAUCCUGUUGUUUCUAUAAAGCAACUCACCUUUUUUGGAUCAAAUAUCCUGAUUUUUUGCUUAGAAAAUGUAAUCUAAUAUGACCACAAACAGGACAGGGAAGAAACAGAGAAGUUUACCUUGAUAAGGAGUGGAUGAGGAGGCAAAGGGACGCCUGAAGGUUUUAGGUAUGCUCCGGACUCUCACUGUCUAAGGAGCCACCUCCCCAGGUCCUAAGGAGUUUGAAAGAAAAUGUGAGAAGGAUGAUAUCACUCAAACGGGACUGGAAGCUAACUCCAGUGAAUUCAUUGUGGUCCAGGGUUUGCCACUCAAUUUUGUAGACUCAAAAACUCAGUUCACCAUUUUGUAAGCUAUAAAAGGCAAUGAUUCCCUUAUUUCCAAGAUUUUAGUGAUGCAUCUUUUUGUUGCUCCAUAUACCAACCAAAUCGCCAUUCUGUACAUAAACUCACUACUCUGAUCGUAGCAAACUUUGAAACCAGUAUUAAAAAGUGGCUUCGUGCUCAGGAAGUAACCUCCCACCAGUCUCUAAUCAACUGUUCUUGUAAAUAAUAAAUUCAAUUUAAUAUCUACCUAAAAGCCUGACCCAAGCCAUGGUGUUUUCAGUUGCUUCAUAUGCAUAUGAAAGCUGGACAAUAAAUAAGACCAUAAGAAGAAUCAAUGCUUUUGAGUUAUGAUGU